GAUGAAGAACGCAGCGAAAUGCGAUAAGUAAUGUGAAUUGCAGGAUUCAGUGAAUCAUCGAAUCUUUGAACGCACAUUGCGCCCGCCAGUAUUCUGGCGGGCAUGCCUGUUCGAGCGUCAUUACAACCCUCAGGCCCCCGGGCCUGGCGUUGGGGAUCGGCGGAGCCCCCCGUGGGCACACGCCGUCCCCCAAAUGCAGUGGCGGUCCCGCCGCAGCUUCCAUCGCGUAGUAGCUAACACCUCGCGACUGGAGAGCGGCGCGGCCACGCCGUAAAACACCCAACUCUUCUGAAGUUGACCUCGAAUCAGGUAGGAAUACCCGCUGAACUUAAGCAUAUCAAUAAGCGGAGGA
rnacentral:misc_RNA from 1 species